rnacentral:rRNA from 1 species
UGGCUCAGAAGGAACGCUGGCGGCGCGCUUCCCACAUGCAAGUCGCACGAGAAAGGGGGCAACCCUGAGUAAAGUGGCGUACGGGUGAGUAACACGUGGAUUAUCUACCUUUUAGUGGGGAAUACCUCCGGGAAACUGGAGACAAUACCGCAUAAGCCUGUAAAGGGAAAGCAGCAAUGCGCUGAAAGAGGAGUCCGCGGCUGAUUAUGCUAGUUGGUGAGGUAAUGGCCCACCAAGGCGAAGAUCGGUAGCCGGCCUGAGAGGGCUCACGGCCACACUGGCACUGAAAUACGGUCCAGACUCCUACGGGAGGCAGCAGUGGG